rnacentral:ribozyme from 16 species
UAAAAAUCCACGGGAGAAUGAAAAAAAUGAGAGCGUGCUGGUGCUCUCCCUCUCCCUUUCAAGCUUUUUCCUUCUUUUUUUUUUUCUUCUUUUUUUU